rnacentral:rRNA from 1 species
GACGUAGGGGGCGAGCGUUGUCCGGAUUUAUUGGGCGUAAAGAGCUCGUAGGCGGCUCGUUGCGUCGGCUGUGAAAACCCGCAGCUCAACUGUGGGCUUGCAGCCGAUACGGGCGGGCUGGAGUUCGGUAGGGGAGACUGGAAUUCCUGGUGUAGCGGUGAAAUGCGUAGAUAUCGAGAGGAACACCUGCGGCGAAGGCGGGUUGCUGGGCUGAUACUGACGCUGAGGCGCGAAAGCCAGGGGAGCGAACGGG